rnacentral:tRNA from 1 species
GAGCAGGUGGCCGAGUGGUUAAGGCGGUGGCUUGCUAAGCCAUUUAUCGUUGUUGAUAUCAUGGGUUCAAAUCCCAUUCUGCUCU